CACGGUAGGGGCCGAGCGUUGUCCGGAUUCGAUUGGGCGUAAAGAGCUCGUAGGCGGUUCAGUCAGUCGGGUGUGAAAUCUCCGGGCUCAACCGUCGGGAGGGCCACCCGAUACUGCUGUGACUUGAGUCCGGUAGGGGAGUGGGGAAUUCCUGGUGUAGCGGUGAAAUGCGCAGAUAUCAGGAGGAACACCGGUGGCGAAGGCGCCACUCUGGGCCGGUACUGACGCUGAGGAGCGAAAGCGUGGGGAGCAAACAGG
rnacentral:rRNA from 1 species